UACAGAGGUCUCAAGCGUUGUUCGGAUUCAUUGGGCGUAAAGGGUGUGUAGGUGGCGCCGUAAGUCGGGUGUGAAAUUUCGGAGCUUAACUCCGAAACUGCAUUCGAUACUGCGGUGCUUGAGGACUGGAGAGGAGACUGGAAUUCAUGGUGUAGCAGUGAAAUGCGUAGAGAUCAUGAGGAAGACCAGUGGCGAAGGCGGGUCUCUGGACAGUUACUGACACUGAGACACGAAGGCCAGGGGAGCAAACGGG
rnacentral:rRNA from 1 species